CUCUGCACUUGCGGGCACGUCGUACUGAAGCACGAGAAGUUCUCGUCGAAUUCGACUCAUCUUCUACAUCGGGAAGCAAUCUGUGUCAAUCCAUCCUUACUAGGCGUAUUGAGACCGCUCAAUUCGUGGGCUUACCCUUCGACAAAAGGUCGGUAAGAAAGGAUCAUUAACCCUAGAAUAGCAAAGGAUGAGCUCUUGGUAAACUAAUUUGGCCUUCUUUAUGGCUGAUGCUGAAGUUUCAUCAGUUUGAUCGUUUUGGAUCGAAGAAUUUAUAGAAAAUUCGCCGGUUGUCUCAAUCUCCGGCAUUUAAAUCAGAAAUCUAGGUUUGGCAUAUUCUCUAGGUGUCGGUGAUUGGAUCAUUUUUCUUGUUCAAAACCCUAGGAUCUUCUUUCUACUUCUGAAAGAAAACCCUUUAUUUGUUUGUUCGUAUCUCUUGAUUGCUAGUUGGUUGCAAUCUCUAUUUCACCCGAAAAGUUGGUAUUUUUCUACCAAAAGCUACCACCUUCCUUAUUGAGUUGGUUACUGUGAUGGGUUGGACGUGAUGAUUAGAAAUGAUGCAGGUAUCGACUGGGACCAUAGCAAGUGGGAGCAACUUCUCUAUUUGAACUGCUUCAAUGUCCAAAAAAGGGUUUCAGAAGCUAGAGUGUUUGAAUUUAUUGUCUAGACGCACUGAUGAUAGUGUGUUGGCUGUUUUGAAAGAAGUGGGGCCGGUAAUUAUUGGUUUUGGUUGCCUUAGAUUUGUUGAAGCUGGUUAUUUCGAGAAACUGAGCUGCCCAAGCAGUUGGGUGUUUUUUUGGGAUUUUCAGGAGAGUCAGGCAUAUGUUUGUUGAUUUGGGGUCAUACCUGUGCUUGUUUCAUUAAUAAAGGAGGGUAAUUCCUCAGUAAUGCUCUCAUGAUAAUUUCUAGUUUUGUUUACUACCUUAGACCUGUAGCUCAAGCUGGUGCAAUCCUGUUGUAUGUGGAGCUGCACAAAGGACCUGAACCCCUUGGAAAAGAAAUUGCUGAAUAUGUUUUUUGUGUAUCGGCUCUAGAGAGGAGAAUGCUGUGAUGUAUCAGAAGAGAUGGUGAGGAUUCUUGAGGCUGAUGCCGAGAAGGCAAAAGCUGCAGCUUCAUAUGUUCUGUGGGAUCUUUCAAGGUACAGUCCAUUUCUGUUUUCAAAUAAUUGGGUGUAAUUCCAGUUCUGGUUGAGCUUUCCCAGAAUACAGAUGGUGAUCUUAGGGAGAAGCCAUCUCGUGCUACUACAUGACUAAACUAUUAUGCAGCAAACAGGGAUACCAUCUUGUUAGCUGGUGCAAUUCCUGUUCUUAUUGAUCUCUUGAGUGGUGAGCUGGAUGAGGAAGAAUGCUCUGUUUGUUAAGAAACAAGUAUGGUGGUGAUCUAUGGAAUUAAUAAGUAAAUACUUCGGAGGGUCUGCUCUAAAUCAAGCUGCCAAUAGUUUGCUGCAAGUAUGAAAGCUUUGCUUGUUCUCGAAUCUUCAGCACAGGGAUGGGACAUGAAAAUGAGUUCUUCAAACCAAGUUUUGUGGUGAAAAACUUGCAAUGAGGAUUAAAGGAGGGCUUCUUGCAGGGAGGGAGGCUUCUGCUUUGGAACUAUACAAGUUGGAAUCUGGAAGUCCUAAAAGUAACUGGCAGCUGAUAUCCGACAUCAAGAGACGAACCAAUACAACAGGAUUAGGAGAAGAAGACAUGUUAUGCAUCAUGUCAGGCCCCAUCAAAGAUGCAGAUGGUUCAAGUGUCAUGUAAGAGAUCUGUUCUUAUAUGCAGAAAUCUUUCUCGUUUCUUUCUGCAAGACUGGCCAAACAGAAGGAAUCUCCUUAAAAGAAUUCGACGGUUCAUGAGCUAACAACGAUACAGCAAUCCAUCCUUGUGCUGGUUGUGACUCCAUGGUCAGCAGUUGGUGCAGCUUUCAUGAUCAACAGUAUCACCACCACCAGGAACAUCAAGGACAGCAAGAACGACAGCGUGCACUUGCAGCUCUUAGUGGGUCGCCCAGGCUCAAUAUCUACCGUGGAGAUGUAGACAGUUUGUGAGACUGCAAUAAUGCACUGAGCCAUGCAUACCUUGUCGAAUUCAUGGAUGAAGUUUUCUUUGGAUGUAGCUAAUGGCUGGACUCUGUUCGACAUCGCUGCUUUUCACGACUGAAACAUGCAGUCAGUUCAACAUUAUUGUGGGCUUCUAUUUGUUCCACUCUGCUGUGUCUGAUCCAUGCAUGAAAGAAGUUAUGCUUUUACAUAUGUCCUUGGAAAGUGUGGAAAUUUUUAAUAUA